CGCGUAGGCGGUCUUGUAAGUCAGAUGUGAAAGCCCGGGGCUCAACCCCGGAAGUGCAUUUGAUACUGCAGGACUUGAGUAUGGGAGAGGGAAGUGGAAUUCCUGGUGUAGAGGUGAAAUUCGUAGAUAUCAGGAGGAACACCGGUGGCGAAGGCGACUUCCUGGACCAAUACUGACGCUGAGGCGCGAAGGCGUGGGUAGCAAACA
rnacentral:rRNA from 1 species